UUAGAACAUAAAGGGAAAUGU
rnacentral:piRNA from 1 species